rnacentral:rRNA from 1 species
GACGUAGGAUGCAAGCGUUGUCCGGAAUUAUUGGGCGUAAAGAGUUCGUAGAUGGCUAAACAAGUCUAAUGUUAAAUCAUAGAGCUUAACUCUAUUUCUGCAUUGGAAACUGAUUAGCUAGAGCAAGGUAGGGGUCAGAGGAAUUCCUGGUGUAGCGGUGAAAUGCGUAGAUAUCAGGAGGAACACCAGUAGCGAAGGCGGCUCCCUGGGCCAUUCCUGACGCUGAGAUGCGAAAGCUAGGGGAGCGAACAGGAUUAGAUACCCCAGUAGU